GAACGCUGGCGGCGUGCUUAACACAUGCAAGUCGAACGGUGAACACGGAGCUUGCUCUGUGGGAUCAGUGGCGAACGGGUGAGUAACACGUGAGCAACCUGCCCCUGACUCUGGGAUAAGCGCUGGAAACGGCGUCUAAUACUGGAUAUGUGACGUGACCGCAUGGUCUGCGUCUGGAAAGAAUUUCGGUUGGGGAUGGGCUCGCGGCCUAUCAGCUUGUUGGUGAGGUAAUGGCUCACCAAGGCGUCGACGGGUAGCCGGCCUGAGAGGGUGACCGGCCACACUGGGACUGAGACACGGCCCAGACUCCUACGGGAGGCAGCAGUGGGGAAUAUUGCACAAUGGGCGCAAGCCUGAUGCAGCAACGCCGCGUGAGGGACGACGGCCUUCGGGUUGUAAACCUCUUUUAGCAGGGAAGAAGCGAAAGUGACGGUACCUGCAGAAAAAGCGCCGGCUAACUACGUGCCAGCAGCCGCGGUAAUACGUAGGGCGCAAGCGUUAUCCGGAAUUAUUGGGCGUAAAGAGCUCGUAGGCGGUUUGUCGCGUCUGCUGUGAAAUCCGGAGGCUCAACCUCCGGCCUGCAGUGGGUACGGGCAGACUAGAGUGCGGUAGGGGAGAUUGGAAUUCCUGGUGUAGCGGUGGAAUGCGCAGAUAUCAGGAGGAACACCGAUGGCGAAGGCAGAUCUCUGGGCCGUAACUGACGCUGAGGAGCGAAAGGGUGGGGAGCAAACGGGCUUAGAUACCCUGGUAGUCCACCCCGUAAACGUUGGGAACUAGUUGUGGGGUCCAUUCCACGGAUUCCGUGACGCAGCUAACGCAUUAAGGUUCCCCGCCUGGGGAGUACGGCCGCAAGGCUA
rnacentral:rRNA from 1 species